UGUGGUCUGUUCUUUAGUACACAGAUAGGGACGUUUUGCUUAAAGGAAGUCAGCUGUAUAAAGCACAGUGCAUUCACUCCCUUCUUUGUCUUUGCCUCUAUUGUCAUGAUUCUUAUCGGAACAUAUGUGUCUGCAAGACUGCUCUCCUACACACAACGUACGUAAGAUAGCUGAAUCAGAUGUACAUUGUGGACAUAUUUUGCUAAGUUUCUGUUAUUAAUCAUUGCUGAUCUGUGUUUUCCUGAAAACGUAUAUAAGAAGAUGUACAAUAAACCUCGGUACCUCGGGCUGUUGGCUCGGGGUCCCCUGUGCCUCGCUAUUCUGUCCUUUUUCUCAGUUCCUUCGCCGCCCCGGGUUCACAGCCCAUUGAAGUGGGAAAGUGGUGCCCGAACAGGGACCUGAAGCCCCCUCUGAGUAGUGAUAGGCAAGCGUUUGGAACUCUACAGAAGGCGGAAAAAGAAAAGAAGUGAAAAAGAGAGAAAAAAAGAAAGAAAGAAAGAAAAUUGAAUAGUUGGACCUGCUAACAGAUUGAAAUACACUGAAAUUACUUCAUUUUCCCCUAGAAGUCAGACUAUGAAGUGCUUUAUAGUCCAUAAACUAAGCAGAUGGUGAGACUUGUGUUCUUGAAAAGCGAGGUUGGCCCAGUUGGGUGGGGCUUCGUGUAAUGGCUCUGUUCCCCACUAGAUGGCACUGCUAGCCUAUUGGGGUGGAGUGUUGUGGCACUCGUAGGUGCAUAUGACCAUGCACGACAGCGGUGAAAAAUGGCAUCACCCAGCUACCCAGUCUCUAGUAUCAGAACUCUGUUCUCCCUGAUCAGCAAUUGCACACCUGCCCUUUGUCUUCAGCUUUUGUCUGCUCCCUGCUUUUUCACUGUCUGUGACCAAGCCCCAGUAGUACUUCUCUCCAGAGUUUUGUCUCAGAUGUGGCUGUUUUCCCCAGCCCAUUGCUUCUGAGGGACUGCAGCUUUGACCCAUUCUGACCCUCUGCGGAUGGUUUCACCAAGCAAUGGCCAAAUGCUGGCUGCACCCAGAUGGAUCCCGUCAACAAAUAUGGAUACCUCUUUGGAAAGUCCAGCCCAGGAUUAGACAUCAGCAAAAUGAAGGAGACUUCUCAGCCACUAUAAGGCCUGAGGACCCAAUCCCUGGUGAAGGAGAUGGCGGCACUGACCCUGAAGAGAUCCCAAAAAUGGAAGAUGGCUCCAAUCCCUUCUCCCACAUGGGGACAACUGAAGAAUCUCACACAAUGUGUAGAAUGAGUCCUGGAAACAACUAAAUCCAGCAAAACUCCUAAACACUUGUUCUCAGCCAUGCUGGCAGUUGUGACUUGCACCUUGGGACACGUAUAGGCGUUUGGCUCCCGGUAAAUUUGAUUAGAGGCUGUGAAUAAAACCCUGUAGAGGGUCUUACAUCGAAGGAUACUGCACCCGUAGAAGGUGAAGGAAUGCACAGAGCUUUCAUCAUAAGAUGCUUACUACAGCUGCGGCUUUGAAAGGGAAGGGGGUACUGUGGGAAACAGAACACCACAAUGACCACAGGUGCAUAUUCAUUCAGGCUCCAAGAUCCCUGAGAAAACUUGAGAUCAUAAAGUUAAAAAUAACUUGAAAGGACUUGAGUGAAUUGCUCUUGGGAAAUGUGGUCUGUUCUUUAGUACACAAAUAGGGAUGUUUUGCUUAAAGGAAGUCAGCUGUAUAUAGCACAGUGCAUUCACUCCCUUCUUUGUCUUUGCCUCUAUCAUAAAGAUUCUUAUGGGAACAUAUGUGUCUGCAAGACUGCUCUCCUACACAACAUACGUAAGACAGCUGAAUCAGAUGUAUAUUGUUGACAUGCUUUGCUAAGCUUCUGUUGUUAAUCAUUGCUGAUCUGUUUUUUUUUUUUCCUGAAAACAUAUAUAAGAAGAUGUACAAUAAACCUUGGUACCUCGGGCUGUUGGCUUGGGGCAUCCUGUGCCUUGC